CCUACGGGAGGCAGCAGUAGGGAAUAUUGCUCAAUGGGGGAAACCCUGAAGCAGCAACGCCGCGUGGAGGAUGAAGGUUUUCGGAUUGUAAACUCCUUUUGUUAGAGAAGAUAAUGACGGUAUCUAACGAAUAAGCACCGGCUAACUCCGUGCCAGCAGCCGCGGUAAUACGGAGGGUGCAAGCGUUACUCGGAAUGACGGGGAGUAAGGGGCGCGUAGGCGGGAUAGAAAGUAAGAUGUGAAAUCCUAGGGCUUAACCAUAGAACUGCAUUUGAAACUGGUAUUCUAGAGUAUGGGAGGGGUAGGUGGAAUUCUUGGUGUAGCGGUAAAAUCCGUAGAGAUCAGGAGGAAUACUCAUUGCGAAGGCGACCUGCUAGAACAUAACUGACGCUGAUGCGCGAAAGCGUGGGGAGCAAACAGGAUUAGAUACCCCUGUAGUC
rnacentral:rRNA from 1 species